ACAGCAGCUAGUUUCUCCUGUUGAUUUAAACCUUGUUGUAGAGAUGGAACAUUGGCUGUGGAUGAUUCUUGCUGCUCUUUUCUUUGAGUGUAAAGGAGAAGAGAGAGUGAUCCAGCCAACAGGAGAUGUCAUUGCUACUGAAGGAGACACAGUUACACUUGGCUGUACAUUUGAGUCAAGUGACCCAUAUUCCUAUCUGUUCUGGUACAAACAAGAAAUAAAUGAUUUCCCAAAUACAUGCUGCAACGGUACUCUGGAAACAAAGAUAAUCCUUUAGAGGAAAAGAGAAUUGAUGCUAAAAUCAACGGGGCAACAGUUCCUCUGAAGAUCCAGAAGCUUCAGCUGUCUGACUCUGCUGUGUACUACUGUGCUCUGCGGCCCACAGUGACAGGAAACACCAAGACUCUGUACAAAAACCUUUGGAGCAAAGACAACAGAAUACUCCACAACAUCCACUAGAGGGAUUCACACACUGUU